GCUAGCAUCGCCUCACCUGGUCCCUGAGCCGCGUAGGUCGGGGUGAACGUGGGGAAGUCCGGUGCGAAUCCGGCGCUGUUCCGCAACGGUGGUCGCGCUCACGCGCGCAAGCCCGAAUGCCCGCCAGGGACGACGCCCGCGC
rnacentral:ncRNA from 2 species